rnacentral:rRNA from 1 species
GUGUCAGCCGCCGCGGUAAUACGUAGGUGGCAAGCGUUAUCCGGAAUUAUUGGGCGUAAAGAGCGCGCAGGUGGUUGAUUAAGUCUGAUGUGAAAGCCCACGGCUUAACCGUGGAGGGUCAUUGGAAACUGGUCGACUUGAGUGCAGAAGAGGGAAGUGGAAUUCCAUGUGUAGCGGUGGAAUGCGUAGAGAUAUGGAGGAACACCAGUGGCGAAGGCGGCUUCCUGGUCUGUAACUGACACUGAGGCGCGAAAGCGUGGGGAGCAAACAGGAUUAGAUACCCCGGUAGUCC